UAUGCUUGUAUACAGUGCUAACUCGCGAUCUUAAAAAUAGCAAGUAUUGUAAGAAAGGCGUCACAUCAAAUUCUUAAAUCUAUUGAGCUCCAAAUUGUUGUUUUGCUUAUCGGUUUGUUAUUCGUCUGACACCGCACCGAAAUUGAAACUGAACCUGUUUCCUAUAGAAAAGAAAAAUUGUAUAUAAAAAGUAGAAGCCUAUUUACUGCCCGAAAGAAAUAUGUUGUAUAGAAACAAGGAGUUUAUAGACAGACUUCCUAAACUGAAAACAAGAAUGAAACAGAAAUAACUUGAAUAUUACAUUGUUAUAAAGUUGAAUGCUGUACAGAUCCGGGAUUCCGGUACACAGUGUUCAAAGUCCACCAAGGUCUAUAUCUUCAAAGUCCACCAAGGUCUAUAUCUUCAAAGUCCACCAAGGUCUAUAUUUCAAAGUCCACCAAGGUCUAUAUUUCAAAGUCCACCAAGGUCUAUAUUCAAAGUCCACCAAGGUCUAUAUUAUUAUUAUUAUUAUUAUUAUUAUUAUGCUUUCUUUAUUGGUCACAAGGUCU